rnacentral:piRNA from 1 species
UGCAUAUCCUACUUUUUUAAUGUCCUACUC